GGGUCAGUAGGUUGGUCGUGCCACCGGUACGUACUGGUCUCACUGACUCCUCCUUCCUGAAGAACCGUAAUGCCAUUAAUUUGGUGUUGCGGGGAAACAGGACUGUUACUUUGAAAAAAUUAGAGUGUUUAAAGCAAGCUGACGCUUGAAUACAUUAGCAUGGAAUAAUGAAAUAGGACGAUCGAUCCUAUUUUGUUGGUUUCUAGGAUUGACGUA
rnacentral:rRNA from 1 species